AGAAUUUAAGAAAGCUAAGUUAAUUCUAUUUAUUUAUAUCUAUGCAUUUUAAAUUUUUAUUCUCAUAAAAUUCUAAUAUACUAAAUCGUUACGAACAUAUUUCCUACUAUCAUCAAUUAUUUUCAUAUAAUAUUUAGGGUUUUAUUUCAGAUAUUGUAGCUUCUGCAGGUUAAUCAAUAUAAAAACUAUAUGAAAACCUAGAGUACUGCAAGUAGAACCAUCUGUCUUGGUAUUGUAUGUUGCAAAUU
rnacentral:lncRNA from 1 species